CGGGGGGGGCAAGCGUUGUCCGGAAUUACUGGGCGUAAAGGGCGCGUAGGCGGUGCUCUAAGUCGGAUGUGAAAACUCUGGGCUCAACCCAGAGCCUGCAUCCGAAACUGGAGUGCUAGAGUUCUGGAGGGGGUAGCGGAAUUCCUGGUGUAGCGGUGAAAUGCGUAGAUAUCAGGAGGAACACCGGUGGCGAAGGCGGCUACCUGGACAGAAACUGACGCUGAGGCGCGAAAGCUAGGGGAGCAAACAGGAUUAGAUACCCUGGUAGUCCUAGCCCUAAACGAUGGAUACUUGGUGUGACUGGGAUUGAAUCCAGUCGUGCCGAAGCUAACGCAUUAAGUAUCCCGCCUGGGGAGUACGGUCGCAAGGCUG
rnacentral:rRNA from 1 species